rnacentral:lncRNA from 1 species
AUGUCAAAUCUUUUGGAAAACGUGAUAGAAAUGGAUCAAGAUUUAUUGUCAUCAGUUUGUAUACUUACUAUUAUUUCUCACAGCUUGGUGAAAUCGUUGAUGGAUAAAUUAUCUCAGAGUUUACAAGAAGCUCCUGAAAAUCCAUUGUUUGAAAACAAAUACGAGAACCAUAGAACAAGAGAAAUACAAUCUAGUGUUCCAAAGGCAAAAGGGCCAAAACUCACGGAGUUAGGACAGGGUAAGAGCUCUUCAGAAUUGGCAAGUUAUGGCAGCACUUCUUUGACAGAAUCCCGGAAUAAUCCCCAUGUGGCUAGCUCCCAAAUACAGUCACCAUUUGUACAGGAAAGUAUAGUCGGCCGAAGCCCAAUUAUGGUUGAUCGCAUAGCCAGUUUUAUUAUCCAAGAAAUUAUUGAAUGGCAUCUUCAUCCAUUUUUGCAUGGAGAGGUUUUACCUAGUCCAGGGACUCCACUAGAUGCUGUACCUAAUAUGGUUAAACAGGUUCUUGAUGAAGUCCUAGAGUCAUACAGGCCCCAGAAGCCACCAUUUGUAGGUAUUUGCCCUGAUCUAUUUGUAAUGGAGAUGGUUACCAAACUUUUGUCAAAGAUUUUUAGCCCUAGGCCUAGCACUGAAUUUGAGCUGGAAACCAUGACACAAAAAAUAGUAAACUCCGUGAACAAGUAUUUUGAAACAGGUAAAAUUCACAAUUUAUGUGAUGACAAGAAGUCUUUGCCCUAUAUAGAUACAGAUAUUGUAGAUGAACUUGUCAUCUCAGUUUAUAGAAAUGUGUUGAACCAGUAUGGACUAGACCCUAACACUAAUAAAGAGAGUGAAAAUAGUGAUAUUUUUGUGAGAAAUAUUACUAAUUUAAUUGUAACAACUAUUUCAAACUACCUUCUUCAUCUGUUGUUUGCUGGUGAUCUGUCAACUUCAUCUUAUUCCAUCUUGAUGGCUGAGAACAUUGUUCAAGACGUCCUUAGUAACAUAAGUCAAUCUACCAGGUCAGACCAGAGCUUACUUCCAUAUAACACCUUACUGCCAUAUACAUUCUUAGAAGAUAUGAUCAGAGUACUAUUAUCAAGAUUCUUUCCUUCAUCUCCAAAAGAUAAGUCAAAAGUGAAUUUUAAUGAAAUUGCUUCCAACCUAAUCAGUGAUAUUAGGAUGAAGAUUUCCCAACAUGAAAUUUGAUUUUCAAAAGAUGAAGAAGAAACCAAGUUUGUUUAUUCAGAAGAUGAUGUUCAAAAUCUUGUUGAUUCAGUAUUCAAAAAUAUUUUACAAAACUGAGUCUCAAGAAUUGGUGAAGCAAAAUAUUAAAAGCAACAAUGAUGUUCUUAUUGAUAGAAUAGCAGGUUUCAUCAUUAAAUAUGUUUGCGAACAACAUCUUCAGCCAUUUUUGAAUGUCAAUUCAUCUUCCUCAUCCUACACGCAUCUUGAUUAUAAGAGACAGGAGUCAUUUUAUGCCAGUGUUUACUCCUCAACUUUUUUGGAGGAUGUGGUAUCUGGAGUUUUAACCAAAAUAUUCCACAGGGUGGUUGGUAUUGUAUGAAUGACAGAUUCAGAAGAUGAACUGUUUGAUAAAGCUGAAAAACUCAUACAUUUGAUAACAGAGGAAUUCUCAAAAGAUCAAGUUAGUGUUAUAGAAAAUGCUGAGGAACAGUUGUGUUUGCCUCCAAUGCAGAGAGAUAUAGUAAAAAAUAUUAUUGAUGUACUAUAUAGUAGAGUUUUAGAAGAAUAUGAAGUGGAAAUCAUGCCUCAUAAAGAUUUUCUGAAUGAUAUAAGGACAUUGGCUGCUCGGAUAACUAAAAUCAUCCUGAUUGAAAUUUUUGAUUUCCAAAUUCAUCCAGAUCUUAUAGCAAAUCUGCCUUUUAAGUCCCAUUCCAAACUCAGUGAAAAUGUUUUGAUACACAGAGUCCAAUAUAAUAUCAGUAAGUCAAGAUUCUGAAGACAGGCUUCAACAAUAUAUACUACUAUGUUAUCACAAAGUCAUUUGGAAAAAAUAGUCACUCAACUUGUAUCUCAGAUUAAUCUGCUGACAUCCACUGUAGAACAUCCAGAUACUUCCCGAUCAGGCUUAAGACA